UUAAGAUCAAUGAAGUAGCCCAAUUCAUUGGUUUCUUUCUGUUUUUGAUGAAAUGGUAUGUGAGACUCUAGAUGGUUUUAUGCAUAGAAAUUGAGCUUGUAGCUGAUAUGUUUCUACUCUGUUUUGGAGGUGUGCUUGAAGGCCGCAGGCAAAAUUGGAAAGUUGGGAUGGGAAAAAAGAGAAGCUGGUUCAGUUUGGUGAAGGGGGUUUUCAUUUCCGAGGCAAAGAAAAAAGAGGAAAAGAAAUCAAAGAGGUGGAAAUGGGUUUUCACAAGGCUUAAGCUCAAACAAUGCCCUGCACUUGCAGCACCAUGUAGAACAUUGACUGAGGCAAGAGAUGAGCAGAAAAAGCAUGCUAUGACUGUUGCCCUAGCAACAGCAGCUGCAGCUGAGGCUGCCGUUGCUGCUGCCCAUGCUGCAGCUGAGGUUGUCAGGCUCACAGGCACUCCUCAAUCUUAUCAUACAUAUGACAAAGGAAACCAAAACUUGGCUGCCAUUAAAAUUCAAACAGCUUUCCGGGGACAUCUUGCUAGGAAAGCACUGCGGGAGUUGAAGGGAUUGGUAAGGCUUCAAGCUCUGGUUCGAGGCCAAAUUUUGAGACGCCAAGUAAUCACCACACUCAAGUGUUUGCCCUCCACUGCAAAUAAUCAGGCACAAGUUAACAAAAGGGGAGUUCUGACUGCAAAUGAAAGUUAUAAAGACAGUGAUAACAGAAAGUUUCUUAGGCCAAAGGAAUUGGGAGGGAGAGAAAUAAAGGACUAUGUUAUUGAGCAGCUUGAAGGCAGUAGUAAGAAAAGUUGGGAUUGCAGCAUGUUAUUAAAAGAAGAUAUGGAAGCUAUAUGGUUAAGAAAGCAAGAGGCCGUCACCAAAAGAGAGCGGAUGAAGAAAUACUCAUCUUCGCAUAGGGAGAGGAUCAAUGCUCAAAUGACAGAGGAAACUGAAUCCUACAAGGAGAAUGGAAAAUGGAACAGCCAGUUUGAGCAAUGGAUGGAUGCCAGGGAAUAUGAAAGAGAAGAACUGGAGAAUUCAAAAUCAACAAUCCAUUUGAAUAUGUUAAACAGCGACAAAAUGGAACGACAAAUGUUAAAUUGAGAAAUGCCUGUAAACAGAAUUCCACAGAAGGAUCAAAUUUGCCAUUUUCACACUCGAGGAGAUCAUUUUGUCACAGAAAACAUAAUUCAGAAGCAGAUAACCGUUCCUUCCCAAGCUCUCCAGUUUUUCCAACUUAUAUGGCUACAACAGAAUCUGCCAAGGCGAAGGCAAGAUCAAUGAGCAUGCCAAAGCAGAGGGUUGGGUUUCUAGACAGUUGCUUUGAUCACAGUUCAGCCUACAAGAAUAGGCUAGCAUUUUGGUCUUCAUUUAAUGGUGAAUCAAUAAGCAACAUUGGAAAGAACGGCACUCCGCAGAAUUCUGUAACCAUGAAAAGCUUUAACUGAGACUCAAAGGAUGCCAGCUUUAGUUCCCGACAUCAGUUCGUGAAAUCAAAUCAAGUUAUGCUUUCAGAAGAUUCGAUACUAGAUGCCUACAAUUAAGUUUGCCAGAUUUUCAUGAUCCUCUCACUGUUUCUAACCCUCACAUUACAUAAAGAAACUUCCAAGCUUGCAACUAUCUCAUUGCUGGAGGAAGUGAAACUAGUUUGAUCUUUGACGUUGAAAUCUUACAUGUUUUAACAUGAAAAUGCUUUCCAGACCCUUUGGACUCCCUCCCUCCACAUGCUGAACCAAAUGAGGUAUUAGUCCUUGUACUAUCUAUUGUUGUUGCUGUUCUACCCAGCUGAAGAGCAACCACUCUCUGAGGUAAUCAUUUCCAACAAACAUUCAUCAGUGGCAAAGUAAAUGGAAACCUGUAAAAAUGGUUUGGGAAACACAGAAUGAAAUUGAUAUUAGAGCCUAGGUAUGGUAUUCCAUAACUCACACUUCUAUUUGAGCACCUGCAUUAGAUGGAUUGAACAAAGUCCCCGUUGUGAUUGUUUUGCAGCUCAUUUUGAUUCUCAUGGAUAAGAUGUAAACAAAGCGAGAGAGACCUGUUAUGUCUAGGCUAGCCAUUAGAAGAAGCAGCAUUGCAGGCUUGCAUCUAUCAAGCCGUUGCCAUCUGAAUUGAACUUAGCCAUGGAGUUGUUGAGCUUCAGUUUUUUCUUUGUCAGGUUAUGUAAAUCCAUCCACCAACAGAGUCAUUGCAGAGCAAUGAACCACCACUGCAGAGGACUCCAAAAAUUUGCGAUGAUACCAUUUUGUAGCAUCCCGACAAGGCAUUUUUUUUA